rnacentral:tRNA from 1 species
UGCCCCAUGGCUGAGUUGGUUACAGCGUCCGACUGUUAAGUCCAUCACAAUCGGAAGGUCGAGAGUUCGAGCCUCUCUGGGGCAG